AUGCCGUUUGCUUACAGAGACUGUGCGCCGGCAAGGAGCUUUUGUGCGUUUUUCUGAAGAAAUACAAAGGACAUUUCAUACUCGACAGUGCAAAGGCCGCCUACUUUGUGAUAAUUUGGAGCGCAAAAUAAGGAAAAAGAAAGGUCAGACUGGGUAUGCGCAUGUGAAUAACUGGAAUUUCAGAUCGUCUGAAGUACUUAAAACUGGAUGAACAAUGUUUGUUGUUGAACAUGGAUAUGUCCACUUAAACUGUUGCUGUCAGUUUUAAAGUUUGCUGCGUGGACCUGGAAUAUAAUCUUUCGGGUGUUUUUAAGACAAACUCGUCUUUUCUGGGGAAGUGGACAGGAUGUCAGCUUGGCUCACCUUUGCGGUUGCAUUUAACCUGAUCAUUUUAGUACAGGUGUUCGAAUCCGGUGUUUUCGAGCUUAAUCUUCUUGAGUUUAAGAAUAAUAUGGGGUUGCUGGCGAAUGGCAAUACGUGCAAACCCGACUGCAGGACUUUUUUCCGAGUUUGCCUGAAGAAUUACCAGACUGUGGUGUCCCCAGGUAACUGUAUCUUCGGCAGUGUCGUUACUCCCGUAUUGGGGACAAACUCGUUCAGCGCAACGGAAGCUGGCAGUAUAAACAGGCUGAUUCGCUUGCCGUUCAAUUUCGGAUGGCCGGGGUCAUUUUCUCUAAUUAUUGAAGCGUGGCAUUCGCCUUUGACAGACGUACCUGCUGGCCCAAAUGACCCUGAGUUAUUGAUAAGCUUCUUUGCUAUCCAGAGAAAGUUAGAUGUGGGUGAUGGGUGGCGUGAGGAGAUGCAGAUUGGGAGGCACAUGCAGCUCCGCUACUCCUACCGCUUCGUCUGCAGCGAGCAUUACUAUGGCGACAGCUGCUCCAGAAAAUGCUCCCCCCGAGACGACCGCUUCGGCCACUAUACCUGCACCGCGGACGGCUAUAUUUCCUGCCUUCUGGGCUGGAAGGGAGAGUACUGCGUAGAGCCAAUCUGUCUUGAGAGGUGCAGCAAGCAAAAUGGAAACUGCUCUAGACCGGGUGAAUGUCUUGCAGUGACUGCAGAUCCCAGGAAGACAAUGUUCAGCACCUUUUACCUCCCAGUGACCAAAGGAAAUUUUGGGUGUGAUGUGGUGCCCUCUGGCAACAGGUGCAGAGAUGGCUGGCAGGGCGUCCUCUGUGACCAGUGCAGGAAGUAUCCCACCUGUAAACACGGCACCUGUCAACAACCCUGGCAGUGCAACUGUGAGGAGGGCUGGGGGGGGCUCCUCUGUGACCAGGAUCUGAACUACUGCACCCACCAUAAGCCCUGUCGCAAUGGCGCCACCUGCAUGAACACAGGCCAGGGCAGCUACACCUGCACCUGCCCACCUGGCUUCACCGGUGCCGACUGCCAGCUGGGGGCGCCGGAGUGCAGCAGCAGCCCCUGCCAGAAUGGGGGGGAGUGUGCGGACCUGGAAGAUGGCUACCGGUGCAUCUGUCCAAGAGGCACGGAUGGGGCCCACUGCCAGUACCGGCUGCUCACUUGUGCCGAUGUCCCCUGCUUCCACAGUGGGAGGUGCAGGGACAAGCAGGGUGGGCGGGGUUAUGUCUGCGAGUGCCCAUGGGGCUUCACCGGGCUCAACUGUGAGAGGAGGCUGGACCGGUGCUCAUCGCUGCCAUGUGCCAAUGGUGGCUGGUGCGUCCUUCAGAGCGGCCGGCCUGUAUGUGGUUGUCCGGCAGGAUUCAAGGGUCCUCGCUGCGAGAUCAACACCAACUGGUGCAAUGGAAGCCCCUGUGCUAAUGGGGGCACCUGCGUGCCUUAUGCCAAGGACUACAGCUGCACCUGCCCCCCUGGGCACACGGGCCGCCGCUGUGACACGCCCACCGAGCCGUGUGUCGCCCAGCCCUGCCUCCACGGUGGCACCUGUCUUGGCAACAGCACCGGCCAAUCACCAUCCUGCGUCUGCCCCACCCACUACACUGGCCCCCACUGCCAGUACCACGUCAUGACCCUGCCCCUCGCUCCUAGCCAAGAAGAGCCCAGGAGCGCCCUCCAGUGGGUGGCCAUGUCCAUGGGAGUUGGGCUGGUGAUCCUGCUGCUGCUGUUAUGCAUGGUGGCUGUCGCACUGAACAAAAUCCACCGGCAGCGAAAUGGGGAGAGACGUGACGGCGAUACUGUGAACAACGUGCCUCAUGUGGACAGGGACAACCUGAUACCCUCCCUUCAGCUGAAGAAAACCAAUGAGAAGGUCGCUGUCGAGGAGGGUCACACUCAGGGGAAAUGCAACCAAAGACACAGCAGCUACCACUUGGACUACAAGUCCGCUAAAGACUUCAAGGAUGACUGGGAAGCCGGUGAAAAGAGACAGAUCAAUGAAAGAAGGAUAGCAGGGAAAAUAUCUUUAAGUAGAAUGUACAGGUAAGAGGAUUCUUACAGGAAACUGUUCCAGAAGAGUCCCACCGUGUGAACUCGAGACGCCAAAGUGUAAAAUAUCAACAAUAUGCUCCCCUGGAGAGUCAACAUACCAGGCUCUGUUUUUAAUAGCAGACAGGAGUAACCGGUGUUUUACAGUAACUGAGGUUUAAACUCAGGACUGAACAGAAGAGGCACCAAGGCGACGGCCCUCAGAUCUGUUUACAUGUGCGAGUGCAGAUACUGUAUAUGCUGGAGAUGUUGGACUUAAUAUUGUGUCGCUGCUCUUAAGGACCGAAGAGAAUGGACAUGUGUCACGUUGAGGUGACGUGAUUUAUUCAUGGACAAAAAUGUCCCAGAGACUAAACAAGAACAUUUAUUUGGGUGAUUUUGGCCCAACGAUCAGCCAUGGAAAACCAACAGGAUCACAGCACUAACAGAGAUGUCGCUGAUUAUGAACCCCUCCUAUGCAAAAUUGUAACACAAUAAACUGUUUAAUCAAAUAUAUGGUUAAUAAAGUAUGAGGUCUAAGUAAAUAAUAUGGAUAGCUACCCAUAUUUUACACUUUAUAUGAAUAAAUCAAACACUUAUAAUGCUCAGUUUCCCUGCUUUUCAUGGAUCAUAUGCAAGACAGUUUAAAUACUGCAGCCUGAAAGAUGAUAGCGACCUUAAAGAAAUCAAGGUGCAGCCUGUAAGCACUUCAGUCACUAGCUAAUAAAAAUGUAAUACAGCCUUGCAUUGACUUGCGUUUGGAUAUGCGACCAAGCCCACUGCACUCAAAUCAGUUUGGGUGUAUCUCGAUACUGUAGCUGUCCAUUGCGUGUACAUUACAGGUUAGACAUGGACUGUGGGUCAUUAUAUGGCUGGCAGCUCUGCCCUGCACCUGUUACUCUACGUUGUUACCCGCUAACAUCCUGCUGCUUUCGCUUUCAGGCAUCUCUUGAUCAGUGUGUAUUAUUUACUAUACACCUCAGAAGUUGGAUGUGACUCAGUCAGGUGUUGUUCCAUGUAAGACUGUAAUUUUAUUUCAGUACUAAAGCAGUGUUUUCACGGAUGACUUUGUACGUAGUGCCUGUUUAUAAGGAACAAGUGUCAAAUGUAAAUGCUAUUAUUUCAAACUAUUCAAUCUCA